AGCGAACGGUGGCGGCGUGGAUUAGGCAUGCAAGUCGGACGCGAACGGAGAGCUUGCUCUCUUAUUAGAGUGGCGAACGGGUGAGUAACGUAUGGAUGACCUACCUCGGACUCUGGGACAACCGCUGGAAACGGCGGCUAAUACCGGAUGGUCCUGGCGAUUCAUUUUGCUAGGUAAAGAUACUUGUAUCGGUCUGUGAGGGGUCCAUAUCCCAUCAGCUAGUUGGCGGGGUGAUAGCCCACCAAGGCAACGACGGGUAGCCGGACUGAGAGGUCGACCGGCCACAUCGGGACUGAGACACUGCCCGGACUCCUACGGGAGGCUGCAGUCGAGAAUCUUCCGCAAUGGGCGCAAGCCUGACGGAGCGACGCCGCGUGAAGGAUGACGGCC
rnacentral:rRNA from 1 species